CUAGCAUAUCAAUAAGCGGAGGAAAAGAAACCAACAGGGAUUGCCCUAGUAACGGCGAGUGAAGCGGCAACAGCUCAAAUUUGAAAUCUGGCGUCUUUGGCGUCCGAGUUGUAAUUUGCAGAGGGCGCUUUGGCAUUGGCAGCGGUCCAAGUUCCUUGGAACAGGACGUCACAGAGGGUGAGAAUCCCGUACGUGGUCGCUAGCCUUUACCGUGUAAAGCCCCUUCGACGAGUCGAGUUGUUUGGGAAUGCAGCUCUAAAUGGGAGGUAAAUUUCUUCUAAAGCUAAAUACUGGCCAGAGACCGAUAGCGCACAAGUAGAGUGAUCGAAAGAUGAAAAGCACUUUGGAAAGAGAGUUAAAAAGCACGUGAAAUUGUUGAAAGGGAAGCGCUUGCAGCCAGACUUGCCUGUAGUUGCUCAUCCGGGUUUCUACCCGGUGCACUCUUCUAUAGGCAGGCCAGCAUCAGUUUGGGCGGUUGGAUAAAGGUCUCUGUCAUGUACCUCCUUUCGGGGAGAACUUAUAGGGGAGACGACAUGCAACCAGCCUGGACUGAGGUCCGCGCAUCUGCUAGGAUGCUGGCGUAAUGGCUGUAAGCGGCCCGUCUUGAAACACGGACCAAGGAGUCUAACAUCUAUGCGAGUGUUUGGGUGUCAAGCCCGAGCGCGUAAUGAAAGUGAACGGAGGUGGGAACCUUUCGGGGUGCACCAUCGACCGAUCCUGAUGUCUUCGGAUGGAUUUGAGUAAGAGCAUAGCUGUUGGGACCCGAAAGAUGGUGAACUAUGCUUGAAUAGGGUGAAGCCAGAGGAAACUCUGGUGGAGGCUCGCAGCGGUUCUGACGUGCAAAUCGAUCGUCAAAUUUGGGCAUAGGGGCGAAAGACUAAUCGAACUAUCUAGUAGCUGGUUCCUGCCGA
rnacentral:rRNA from 1 species